rnacentral:lncRNA from 1 species
GAAGGGAGUACUAAAUAAAUGAAAUAUGUAAAUUCAUUUCAUGACGAAUCUAAAAAUCAGACUUGAUAUUAUAGAUAUUGAUAUAUUUCCACACAAAUUCGGUCAAACUUAAAUAGGUUUGACAGUUAAAAAAAGUAAUACACCUUAUAUUUUGAAAUAGAUGGAGUAAAAAAAGUAUGAAAACCCAAUUACAUCAACGACGCAGCAAAGCGCGCCCAACUCUUCUAGUAAACACUAAAGCCGAAGUCAUUCAAAUGUAAAUCAAGCUAUAAGCUUCAAAUUUGUGUAUGAAUACAAAGAGAAGCAUGGCCAUUCUGCAAUGUUGACAGAUUAUUAUCAUCCUUCAAAAAGUGUAAUGGACAAAUGAGAUAAAAAUAGAGAAAGAGGUCAGCACCGAGUAAUGAAAUGAAGGACAAAUCUGUCCAAUUGAUAACCUCUCCGUCAUGCAGUCAGUAGCCUUGAAGAGGACAAUUAGUUUAUCAAAGAAGCUGGGCAUGAAAGGUUAAACAUAGCAAAACAAGGGACAAAAAGUUAAAACACAUAUAUGCUGGCACCAUACUUGAAGGGCAAUGAUAAACUGCACCUUUUAGAUUAGCAAAACAUAGCACCGGCACUUGUUCUUAAAAGGAUAAUACUACAAAACGUAUAGCAGCGUAAUAUGUGCACAACGACUGUAAAAUAAGUCAAUGUUUUUUAAGUCGAGAUAGUAAAUCAUAAUGAAAUGCAUUAGUUCUACCAAGAAUACCACCAUUAUUGAUUUUAGAACACGAACACACUCAAAAUACAAUAUUUUAAUUAUAUAAGAAGCUAUAUCUAUUGGGAAAUAAGCAUAGAUCUGUAGGGAGGAGAGCGAAAGAAACUUUCAGGUUUCGCUUUACCUAUGGGUGCCUUUAUCUAACCUUUGUUGCUAAACUGAAAAAGAAAUAAGCUGUAAGAACGAAAUACAUACGACCACAGGAAGGAAGCCAAAGUUUCAAGUUUUUAGACAUGAAGUUGCUUUAGCUACACCUUUAGUAUAAACAUUCCUGAGUUCAGCUCCCUAAUGUCCCUUGAGGUGAUCAAGACAUCCAAGGAUAUGGUAGUGAGUUUCAUUAGUAAAUUAGCCCAACAACUCUGCACUUCAGAAUAUUACUGUCACCUAC